UGUCUGUGUGUCUGCUGAGUCUCCAUAUUCCGGAAUAUGUAAAAUUAAAGAUCAUUUGCUGAGUUUGACCACUUUGAGCUUUGUGUCUUUUUUGGACGUAAAGAAUACAAAGAACUGGGAUUUAAUACGCCUCUGCACAAAAAAGUUAAUCAGCACCAGAACCACAAUGAAAGUUUAACUGAACAGGAGUUUUUCAACAGCAACAGAGAUUGGAACUCUGCCAAGAUGUAUUUCAAAUGGGGAAGAUCCAGAGUUAGCAUUUUCCCGCUACUGAGUAUCACAGCAAUUGUUUUGGUCUCCAAUCUUUUAUGGAGUUUUUCUGGAUAUACCUUCUGUCAUCGCGAGCCGAGUCUUUGUGGCUGUCAGAAAUGUCUAAGAGACAGUGAUCCUUGGUUUAAUGACAUCAUCAGUGAAGCUCCUGUACCCUUUCUGUCACAGAAACAUAUACCUUCAGAGGAAGAUUUCCUCUGGUGGAAGGUAAAUAAUAAAAAAAAUCAACAUA